rnacentral:rRNA from 1 species
CGUGUAGGCGGUUUCUUAAGUCUGAUGUGAAAGCCCCGGGCUCAACCCAGGAAGUGCAUUGGAUACUGGGAGACUUGAAUACGGGAGAGGGCAGUGGAAUUCCUAGUGUAGGAGUGAAAUCCGUAGAUAUUAGGAGGAACACCGGUGGCGAAGGCGGCUGCCUGGACCGAUAUUGACGCUGAGACGCGAAAGCGUGGGGAGCAAACAGGAUUAGAUACCCUGGUAGUCCACGCCGUAAACGAUGAGAACUAGGUGUUGCGGGUAUUGACCCCUGCAGUGCCGCAGCUAACGCAUUAAGUUCUCCGCCUGGGAAGUACGGUCGCAAGACUAAA